UACGAAGGGGGCUAGCGUUGUUCGGAAUUACUGGGCGUAAAGAGCGCGCAGGCGGUCGAUCAAGUCGAGUGUGAAAGCCCCCGGCUCAACUGGGGAGGGUCAUUCGAUACUGAUCGACUCGAAGGCAGGAGAGGGUAGUGGAAUUCCCGGUGUAGUGGUGAAAUGCGUGGAGAUCAAGAGGAACACUCGUGGCGAAAGCGAGCUACUGGACAAUAUCUGACGCUGAGGCUCGAAGGCCAGGGUAGCGAAAGGG
rnacentral:rRNA from 1 species